rnacentral:rRNA from 1 species
GACGAACGCUGGCGGCGCGCCUAACACAUGCAAGUCGAACGAGCGAGAGGAGGUUUACUUUCUCAAGCGAGUGGCGAACGGGUGAGUAACGCGUGAGGAACCUGCCUCAAAGAGGGGGACAACAGUUGGAAACGACUGCUAAUACCGCAUAAGCCCACGACCCGGCAUCGGGUAGAGGGAAAAGGAGCAAUCCGCUUUGAGAUGGCCUCGCGUCCGAUUAGCUAGUUGGUGAGGUAAUGGCCCACCAAGGCGACGAUCGGUAGCCGGACUGAGAGGUUGAACGGCCACAGUGGGACUGAGACACGGCCCAGACUCCUACGGGAGGCAGCAGUGGGGAAUAAUGCACAAUGGGGGAAACGCUGAUGCAGCGACGCCGCGUGGAGGAAGAAGGUCUCCGGAUUGUAAACUCCUGUUGUUGAGGAAGAUAAUGACGGUACUCAACAAGGAAGUGACGGCUAACUACGUG